GUGUCCAGACGGGCCUCAUUUCCACCGUGGGCUGAGCCGGGACAGCUGCAAGAGCUGGGGUGACUUGGGUUCUCUCCCCACAGGGCCUCUCACCUCAGACUGCUGACAGCUCAGAGGUCAGGGAGGGAGUCUCUGAUGGAGUCACCUGUGAGCUGAGGUCUCCUAAAGGAUUCGAAGGCUGCAGUGAGCAGGGCCUUCUUGGAACUUGGACUGAAUCACGCUACUGGCUUUCUUGGGUCUCCAGUUUGCAGAUGGCAGAUAGUGGGAUUUCUCAGCCCUCAUAAUCAUAAGGGCACAACAUCAUUUCUGUGGUGUUCUUGCCAAAAAUGUGUGAUCUGAAUUUAAUCAUGAGAAGACAGUGGACAAGCCCCAAAGUCACCAGGAAACUGCUUGUUGCCACAUUCGGUGAUCAUUUCUCAUUCCAAGUUUUACUCAACCUUAUUUUUGCUGAUCAGUGCUUUGAUGGGACACUUACUCCCUGUGAUCCUCAAGUCUUUCGUCAAAGAAGGAAGUACCCGCUGAAACCUACCAACCAACUGAGGCAAAAAAGUUCCUGUGCUAAAGCUCAUUUACUCU